CUUGCUCCUUGGGUGGCGAGUGGCGGACGGGUGAGGAAUACAUCGGAAUCUACUCUGUCGUGGGGGAUAACGUAGGGAAACUUACGCUAAUACCGCAUACGACCUACGGGUGAAAGCAGGGGAUCUUCGGACCUUACGCGAUUGAAUGAGCCGAUGUCGGAUUAGCUAGUUGGCGGGGUAAAGGCCCACCAAGGCGACGAUCCGUAGCUGGUCUGAGAGGAUGAUCAGCCACACUGGAACUGAGACACGGUCCAGACUCCUACGGGAGGCAGCAGUGGGGAAUAUUGGACAAUGGGCGCAAGCCUGAUCCAGCCAUACCGCGUGGGUGAAGAAGGCCUUCGGGUUGUAAAGCCCUUUUGUUGGGAAAGAAAUCCAGCUGGCUAAUACCCGGUUGGGAUGACGGUACCCAAAGAAUAAGCACCGGCUAACUUCGUGCCAGCAGCCGCGGUAAUACGAAGGGUGCAAGCGUUACUCGGAAUUACUGGGCGUAAAGCGUGCGUAGGUGGUCGUUUAAGUCCGUUGUGAAAGCCCUGGGCUCAACCUGGGAACUGCAGUGGAUACUGGGCGACUAGAAUGUGGUAGAGGGUAGCGGAAUUCCUG
rnacentral:rRNA from 1 species